rnacentral:piRNA from 1 species
UCAACCUCACCUUCCCUCACAUAGACUGC